GCCACUACUAUCAUUUGUACUGCUGGUGCUUUUAAAAUAAAUUAUUAGUCUUUUCAAUUCAUGUUUUCUCAUUUGUUUGUAAGCCUUUUUACAUAGUGAUUAUUUGAAAAAAAUCACUAACUUAAUCACUAAAUUAUUGAUAACUAACAUAGUGAUCGAUUGAAAGGGUGAGCAGACACAUGACUGUGUGAGUGCACAAUAGCCCGGAGUCAGUGAUUACAUGAUUAAUUAUCUGUGAGGGCAUGAUUGACAGGGAGAGAAGCCCGCGAUCGACCAUCUGUGCAAGUGACUGAUUGAAAGGACGGUUAACGGAGACGGAAGUUCCUGUGGAGCGACCGCUCCUUGAGACUUGGGCGAUUAUGACAGCUAUCCAGGGAGCCGGGAGAUCUGCCUGUGCAUGCCCAAACGUGCCCACGCGCCGGGAGAAACAAGCACACUGAACACCUUCACCGUGCUCAGCCAUCGUGCGGCAAGGACAGCACACGCAACGCUGAACCAACCCAGCCAACGUGCGGCAAGGACAGCACACGCAACGCUGAACCAACCCAGCCAACGUGCGGCAAGGACAGCACACGCAACGCUGAACCAACCCAGCCAACGUGCGGCAAGGACAGCACACGCAACGCUGAACUAACCCAGCCUUCCACACACACACCCACGCUUGCACCGUAAACUCUUAAGCGCUGACGUCGCUUGCUCGAGCAGAAGCUGGAAAUUCAUUCAAAUUUUUUGUUUCAGUUUCAAGGAUUUGUGAGAGGAGUGGAAGCAGGGAAAGGGAGCUGACUUCGGGUAUUUGUUGUAACUUAUCACUUAACUGCUUAAUGUUACUUAUCACUGAUUUGCUAAGCAGUCACUCUUAUCAGACACAACUUACCAAGGUAUUAUCUUUAUAUUUAUAAAUUAAUCUGUGAUAUCUUUAGCUCAGUUGAAAUAUGACCUUUAUAGCAAAAUCUGGCUUCUCCUCCCCAGAUAUUUUCAAACAAUAUUAGAUGUCCAAAAAACCUAAAGUCUAACGAUGCUUGGAUGAGAUAAAAUGCGGUAAAUAAUGACAGCAAGGUGUAAAGUCUUCAUUGUUUUCUUUAAAUAAACGUGUGUCCUUGAGAAUUUAAA